UUAGGUUAAGUUUAGGGUAUCUUCAAACACAUGAUAGCCAGCACCUUAUGGUAUAAAUCAACAAAGAAUGACCUCACUUUGUUGUAUAGAAAGUCUCAUUAGUAAGGAAGCAUAUAUGAAUUUUCUGAGUCAAGACCUAUAGUGACUGUUUGGGGUUUUGUUAGGUUAAGUUAGGUUAAGUUUAGGGUAUCUUCAAACACAUGAUAGCCAGCACCUUAUGGUAUAAAUCAACAAAGAAUGACCUCACUUUGUUGCAUAGAAAGUCUCAUUAGUAAGGAAGCAUAUAUGAAUUUUCUGAGUCAAGACCUAUAGUGACUGUUUGGGGUUUUGUUAGGUUAGGUUAGGUUAAAUUUAGGGUAUCUUUAAACACAUGAUAGCCAGCACCUUAUGGUAUAAAUCAACAAAGAAUGACCUCACUUUGUUGUAUAGAAAGUCUCAUUAGUAAGGAAGCAUAUAUGAAUUUUCUGAGUCAAGACCUAUAGUGACUGUUUGGGGUUUUGUUAGGUUAGGUUAGGUUAAGUUUAGGGUAUCUUCAAACACAUGAUAGCCAGCCCCUUAUGGUAUAAAUCAACAAAGAAUGACCUCACUUUGUAGUAUAGAAAGUCUCAUUAGUAAGGAAGCAUAUAUGAAUUUUCUGAGUCAAGACCUAUAGUGACUGUUUGGGGUUUUGUUAGGUUAGGUUAGGUUAAGUUUAGGGUAUCUUCAAACACAUAAUAGCCAGCACCUUAUGGUAUAAAUCAACAAAGAAUGACCUCACUUUGUUGCAUAGAAAGUCUCAUUAGUAAGGAAGCAUAUAUGAAUUUUCUGAGUCAAGACCUAUAGUGACUGUUUGGGGUUUUGUUAGGUUAGGUUAGGUUAAGUUUAGGUUAUCGUCAAACACAUGAUAGCCAGCACCUUAUGGUAUAAAUCAACAAAGAAUGACCUCACUUUGUUGUAUAGAAAGUCUCAUUAGUAAGGAAGCAUAUAUGAAUUUUCUGAGUCAAGACCUAUAGUGACUGUUUGGGGUUUUGUUAGGUUAGGUUAAGUUAGGUUAAGUUUAGGGUAUCUUCAAACACAUGAUAGCCAGCACCUUAUGGUAUAAAUCAACAAAGAAUGACCUCACUUUGUUGUAUAGAAAGUCUCAUUAGUAAGGAAGCAUAUAUGAAUUUUCU